rnacentral:rRNA from 1 species
CCUACGGGAGGCUGCAGUGAGGAAUAUUGGUCAAUGGGCGGGAGCCUGAACCAGCCAAGUCGCGUGAGGGAAGACGGUCCUAUGGAUUGUACACCUCUUUAGUCGGGGAGCAAUGCCGGGCACGUGUGCCCGGAGGGAGAGUACCCGCAGAAUAAGCAUCGGCUAACUCCGUGCCAGCAGCCGCGGUAAUACGGAGGAUGCGAGCGUUAUCCGGAUUUAUUGGGUUUAAAGGUUGCGUAGGCGGAUUUUUAAGUCAGCGGUAAAAUGUCGGGGCUAAAGCCGGGCCGGCCGUUGAAACUGGGGAUCUUGAGUGGGCGAGCAGUAUGCGGAAUGCGUGGUGUAGCGGUGAAAUGCAUAGAGAUCAGGCAGAACUCCGAUUGCGAAGGCAGCAUACCGGCGCACGACUGACGCUGAGGCACGAAAGCGUGGGGAUCGAACAGGAUUAGAUA